CAGCUGUGCGGCCGUAGCGUCACCCGAGGCGUCGAGCACCGUCGUGUGCGGGCGGAGCUCCGGCCGCUGAGUCACCUGUGUGUGAGGCAGCGCCCUGACCACCAGUCGCCGUCGCCCAAAGCGUCGACGCACCGUCGCAGAUGCGGGAGGGGUAGCCACCCGGCCAUCGAGCCGCCCUCCCCUGGAGAGAGCGCCGCGUCGUCGAGUCGCCAUGGUGCGGCUAGGUUAUGGAGGCGGUCAAUUUUCUCAUACGGGGUAACUAAAUCCUGGAGUAGUUGAAUAGAGAGAGGGGAUUAUUUGCUCAUGUGCGUUUAAGUGGAUUGUUAGGAAUCCCACCUGUAAUCCAUGACGUCCCCUCCUGAUCCAACAGUCCACGAUAGAAAUUUUCAGAUUUUCACCGAAUAGUCAUUUUCACCUGAUACUUCGC
rnacentral:lncRNA from 1 species